rnacentral:sRNA from 1 species
UGCGGGAAGAGCUGUUCCAGGGCGAUGCCUUCCAUCAGUCGGAUACACACAUAUUCAUCAUCAUGGGUGCAUCGGGUGACCUGGCCAAGAAGAAGAUCUACCCCACCAUCUGGUGGCUGUUCCGGGAUGGCCUUCUGCCCGAAAACACCUUCAUCGUGGGCUAUGCCCGCUCCCGCCUCACAGUGGCUGACAUCCGCAAACAGAGUGAGCCCUUCUUCAAGGCCAACCCAGAGGAGAAGCUCAAGCUGGAGGACUUCUUUGCCCGCAACUCCUAUGUGGCUGGCCAGUACGAUGAUGCAGCCUCCUACCAGCGCCUCAACAGCCACAUGAAUGCCCUCCACCUGGGGUCACAGGCCAACCGCCUCUUCUACCUGGCCUUGCCCCCCACCGUCUACGAGGCCGUCACCAAGAACAUUCACGAGUCCUGCAUGAGCCAGAUGUAAGGCUUGCCGUUGCCCUCCCUUCCCACCUGCCAUGCUGGCCCAGGCAGUGCUCCCACCGCUCUGAUGAGCGUGUCCGGGGCCGGGGAUCUG